UGGACCGCAUGACGUCGACCCGGGGGAUUCAACCAGGCCGUUGCGAUCGGGACGCGUGGGGGUUAUGCGGAGCUGUAAAGCCCGUGCCUCUGCGUGGGUCUCCGGGCGGACUGGUGCACUUUCCUCGGGUUGAUUGCCACGACCGGCUCUCCGUGCGGCCACAAGCCUGUUGCUGGGAAGGUGACCGUGGGCCCCGCGCCCGCGGUGUUACAGCCCAGCUUGUUCGUUGAGCUCGUCGGAGGGCCGAGGAAGUUGCCGUUUCUCAGCCACCCUCUGGCCAUCCUUGCUCGUCACGACUGGGGUGAACUGCUUCGUCAGUGCUCUCCCGACCGCGAGCGUAGGAAGGGCUGGUACGGUGCGAGAAUUGCUUCGGGCCAGUGGCGAAUCGGUCGGUCCUCCACCCGACCCGUCUUGAAACACGGAC
rnacentral:rRNA from 1 species